AACAAGACGCUCUGCGGAGCGUUAACUCGCUGGGGCUACACAACUGACGCACAUUACUGUUAAGAUCUAAAGGCUGAUUUCCACUGGCACUGUUGCGUUUUUCGUACUCACGUACACGCACGUAAAACUUUGAAUCCUUCUAUUUUUAAAUAUUUUACAAAUAAGUUAACAAAUUCAUACUAAAACUUGCGGAGCAGUAAAUUCUGUUGCUUUAUUUAUUUGGUUAUUUUACAAAUUUAAAGUUUUACGUGCGUAUAUUAAGCCUGGUGUGGAAAUUAAGCCUGGCCCCCAGCUAAAAGGGGAAACUUCCGGCGUUUAUCAUUGCCCACAAGUAAAGUUAUAUUUUAUAGUACGCUACAUUCUUCUGUCGGCCGCCAGUUUAAAACGUUCAAAAUAAAAUUUUUGGGGGGCUUUUGGGCUCAAAAUAUUAUCAGAAUGAAGAGAGA